GUUGAUGUGAAUACAGUUGAGUAAAUUUUGAAAGACUCUGAAGUUCAAAGUGCAAGAAAAACAUUAUAAAAAAUAGGCCUACUUUUGAAUGAAAACUUACAUUAAGUGUACUUGUAUCAAUUAGUUUGGAUCAGUCAUGUAAGCCAUUAGUGCUGUGGAUUCAGAAACUCCCUAAAAUCACACGUUGAAAUCUCAGCCGAUACGUGGACAUGAGAUCAAGAUAAUAAGCUUGGAAAAAAUAGAGACUAGAAGUGAGCAGUUUUACCUUUCGGAAAUAACAACCCCGUAAAAUAAUAUCAGUGAAAGAAAAGCAAUCAUUAAAUUGGAAUUUUGUGGUAAAAAGACAAGCUGAAAAACUAAAAUGUGGAAUACCUUUAACAUAGGCUUAAGUUGUUUGGUUUUUUUCUUUUAGUACAAAUAAUGUACAGAAUCACCACAAAUAAUGUACAGAAUCACCAGAAAUAAUGUACAGAA